rnacentral:lncRNA from 10 species
GACACAGACAACAAGACAGAAGUUUCCACUUCAGUCUCCGAUUGACCACAGGCCUUCAUAAGGUGUAUCUAAUUGGAGGCUUCAAAACAGCCCCUAGUGGCGUUGCCGGAUUCUUUUGGCUUAAUAAAAACCCUAAUGGUGGAGAGGGGUUCUUGAGCUCUUGAGCCACUCCCGCUCUGUGAAUUGUACUUUCACUUCUUCAGUAAACCUGCACUUUUUUUUUCUCUUUCCUUUUGUUGCUUUGUCUUUCAUUGCUUCGUUCUUUUGUUUCUUUGUGCGUUUUGUUCAAUUAUUUGCUCAACAUGCCCAGAACCUGGACAACUCACAGUAAAGACCUUCCAACAGUGAUUGUGAGGCCUCCGCAGCCAUGUGGAACUGCAAAGAGGACCUGAAGAGCUGCAGCCAUCUGGGAAUUGGACUCAGUGGGCCAUGUUUUUCCAGAGAGUGCAGUGUUCUUUUCAAAACUCUCAGUAGAGACCAAUCUUCCUCUACUUUCUGAGUCCUGGGGAAGUAAGUAGAAAGGCUGCAAUGAUAUGGAGUUCCCAACUUUCAGCAUCCCGUCCAAUAGGUGCUACAGACUACAAGUCUUAAAAAACUUGUUCCUCAGAUCACUCACACUUGGACAUCAGAGAGCAACAGUAACUACUUCUAUGGCUGUUUCAGGAGUUUGUUUAGGUGGCAGGAAGAAGUGCCAAGGGAAGAAGGAAGAGCCCCCUAAAAAAUGAUCAGAUCUUGUCAAAACUCAUUCACCGUCACGAGAGAAGCAUGGAGGAAACUACCCCAUGAUUCAGUUACCUCCACUUGGUUUCUCUGUUCACACAUGCUGAUUACGGGGAUUGCAAUUCAAGAUUAGAUUUGGGUGGGAACACAAAGCCUAACUAUAUUAAGAAGUGAUCCCUAGAUAUCUAUUUUUUGAAUGGUAUUGUAGAAAAUUAUUAUUUCUUAAAUGUUUCGUGGAAUUCACUGGUGAAGUCUGGGACUGCAGCUUUCUUUUUUGGAAGGUAUUAAUUAUUCAAAUUCUUUAAUCAAUAUAUACCUAUUCAGAUUAUCUGUUUCUUCUUAUGAGGAGUUUGUAGUUUUUAUCUUUCAAAAUAUUGAUUAAUUUUAUCAAAGUUAUCAAAUUUGUUGGCAUACAGUCGUUCGUAGUAUUCCUUGAUUAUCCUUCUAAUACCCAUGAGAUGACCCUUCUUUUAUUUCUGAUAUUGGUAAUUUUUAUUUUCUCUUUUUUUCUUCGUUAAAGUACCUACAGCUUUAUCAAUUUUAUCAAUCUCUUCAAAAAAGAAGCUUGAAUUUUUUAUUUUCUGUAUUUUACUGAUUUUAAUUACAUUAAUUUCUGCUCUGUUUUUUAUUUCUUCUGCUUGCUUUAUGUUUAAAUUGCUCUCUGUUCUCUAUUUUCCUAAUAUGGAACUUAGAUUAUUAACUUUAGGUCUUUCUUCUAAUAUAUGCAUUUAAUGCUGUAGAUUUCCCUCUAUUCAUUGCUUGCUGCAUUUCACAACUUUUGAUAAGUUGUAUUUUCAUUUUCAUUUAAUUCAAAACCCUUUUUAAUUUCUCUUGAGGCGUCUUUGACCAAAGUGGUAUUUAGACAUAUGUUGAAUCUGUAUUCUUACUGACCUUUUGCCUCUUUGACUUAGUAAUUACUGAUAAAGGAGUGCUAGUCUCUAACUAUAAUAGUGGAUUUAUACAUAAACUUAAGAUUUUUUUAUCUCUUCUUGUGUAAUUAACCACAUUAUCAUUAUUUAAUACCCUAUUUAUAACCAACAGUUUUCCUUGUUUGAACUCUGCCUUGUCUGAAAUUUAUAUAAUUACUCCAGCUUUCUUUCGAAUAGUACUAACAUGGUAUAUCUUUUAACUUAUUCAAUUGCUAAAAUUUAAAGUAGGUUCUCAUAGAUAAUAUGUUUGGGUCUUGUUGGUUUCCGCCCAAUUCUGACAAUCUAUUUUUAAAUUGAUUUAAGUGACUCACAUAUGAAGUGAUUAUUGAUACAGUUGAAUUAAUAUCUUUCUAUUAUUUUAAUGUGUCCCUUAAAGUUAAUAUGUUGAAAACUUGAUCCCCAACCUAUUGGUGUUGCGAAGUAGGGCCUGUUGGGAGGUGAAGCCUAAUGGGAGAUGUUUGGAUCCUGUGAGCACCUCUCUUAUGAGUGAAUUAAUGCUGUUAUUACAAAAGUAGAUUUGUUAUAGCAGGAGUAGGUCUCUUAUAUAAUGGAUGAGUUCAGUCCCCUUUUGCCCUCUGCCCUCCUGCCAUAGGAUGAUGCAGCAGGAAGGCCCUCAGAAGAUGCUGGCCCGUCAGUCUUGGGCUUUCCAGCCUCAAGAACCAUGAGUCAAUAAAUUACAGCUCUUUAUAAAUUAACCAGUCUGUGUUAUUUUUAUAGCAACUCAAAAGGACUAAGACAUAUUUAUUAUAUUUGUAACUAUUUUCUAUUUGUUGCUCUUCUUUUUUCUUUUCUUCCCCUUCCUUCUGCCUUUGCUACUUUUAAAUGAAUGUUUUAUUA